GUCACGACCCGGAACCUCCCUCAGGCCCAUGACAAUCGCCGCGACGUCCCGAUUGACACUCAUUAUCCGGAAUGCCAACCGAAACCCCGCAAGGCUUACAUAUCAGUUUCUUUCCUUUCCUGUGAGCAAUCAUUGUUAAAUAUCGAGUUUUUAGAGAAUAUAUACUAUUUUAUAUCAAAAACAAUCAAAAUAAAAUUUUCG
rnacentral:lncRNA from 1 species